rnacentral:rRNA from 1 species
AAAAACAACUUUUAACAACGGAUCUCUAGGCUCUCGCAUCGAUGAAGAACGUAGCAAAUUGCGAUAACUAUUGUGAAUUGCAUCUCGUGAAUCAUCAAGUUUUUGAACGCAUCUUGCACUCUUUGGUAUUCCAAAGAGUACACUUGUUUCAGU